UUAAGCACCACUUUUCUACACCAGUCUUACAGAAAGGCUACUCCAAAAUAAGGAAGUGAAGAUGAAUACUUGUGCUUUUCUAGUGUCAAUUCUCUCAGCUGUGACAACUUCAAUGUACCUUGACCUUACAAAGGAAUGGGGGGUCUGGAAAUUGGAAUAUGG